UGGCAUUUUCCAGUUGAUCUAAUAAAAGGUAUCAUUUUGGAACCAAGAGUUCUAGUUUUUGUAUGUCUAUCAUCUGGAUUUGCUCUUUGGAAUGCAAAAAAGGCUUACGUCAUUCAUACCUGGCAUACUAAGAACACCACUCCAUAAAGAUGCACUGAUGGUUGUAGAUUGGGAGAGAUAGCCACUGCUCACCCACAGGAAAGGGCAGCAUGUCCCCAAGACCUCAGGAAGUCUACAGAUCACAGAAGGGGCUAUCAGUACAUCAGGUUCAUAUUUUCCCUUCCAAGGCAUCCUGACCUUUAAUGGUUUAACAUUUAACCAGAAAAGUUUAGAUACCAGAAAUCACAUCCCAGAGGUUUUCUGCUAACUGCAAUGUUACCCAACACAAGCUAGAGAAACACCAGUGUAAUAUCUGGUACUAUGCCUAGCGGAUUCAGCCAAGAGAAUAUGAUCUGCCCCGACAGGUGAAAGUGCUUGAGAAUCUAACAGUUCAUUUUCCACCUUUUAAACACUCAGCUCAUAUUACUCUGGGAAGAAUAAACUGUCUAUAUAUUCCCUGGACCUUACAGAAAAGAGAGUAAAGCCUUCCACACACCUAUCAGCCACUGGAUAACUUCACAAAACAUUUAUGGCGCACUCUGCCCACACCAUAAACCCAAGGACCCAACAGCUCCAUUUCAAGGACCUUACUAAUUUAGGACCUUACUAAUUCCACUUCCUUCCUAACAAAAGCACUGCUUUUGUAGGAACUAUUUAAAACCAUGGUUCA